AAGCCCAUAUAGCACAGCUCAUCUUUAAGAUAUCUUAUUUACAACCAAAUAUGGUCUUAAUGUCUUGAGACUUUUAAAAGAUAUCGUUAAAACGCCAAAUUUAAGAUAUCUUUUAAACAUCAUAUUUAAGACAUUUUUUCUUAAAAAUAGGUUAUAAUUAUGAAUUUAAGAGUUAGGUUAGGUUAGUAAAACAUUUAAGACAAGAGCUGGUAGCUAAAAGCUUUUUCACAUCAGUGACUUCAGUGGUAUGUCCCAUAUCUUGUGAUGAAGAUAUGGUUUUAUUUGAGGGAUAUUUAGAAGACUCUACAGAUUUUAAUAAUGCAGUAGGUAUAGGAGCUUGUUAUAGUAGGAGGAUCAAAAGCCUAUGAUUUUGUAUCAAGAGUUGGAAAAUUAAUUAUUAGCAAUGAGCAAGCUUUAAGUAGAGUUGGCUGGGACAAAAAGGCAAACAAAAGUUUUAUGAUACCAGUUUUGUGCAAAUCUGAUAAUUGGUAAAGCUUAUUCUACAAUAUUCUACAUGUACAUGUAAAAUUUUAAUAGCAAUAAACGUAUUUU
rnacentral:lncRNA from 1 species